CGCAGACACGCGUGGGCGGGACUCUGGCGCGGGAGGGGAACGCGUUCGGGUUCGAGCUCUUUAGUUUGGAAGCAACGACGUAUGAAAAGAUAGACUGUGGUGAACAGAGGGACGUUCCCGCAGAGUCGAGGAAGCUGCGCCUAGAGAGAGCACCUUGCCGAGAUCACACACGCGUCCCUUGCAGCGUCCCUCUGAGAUGCCCUUUGGGGUGCGGUGCUCCCGAGCCCCCAGAAGAAGACCUGAAACGACUGAAUGCCACGGGCGGCCAGCCUCCUCUCGAUGGUUUCGGAUGUUAAAGUGCGUUUCAGACGGAUGAUCCGUGGACUAAGCCACUUAGCAAAUUUGCCGAUAAGGAGCCAGAAUUAGAGCUGCCAGGAGCUCCUUGUACUUGGGGUGCGGUUCCCAAGCCUCCAUC